UCAACAAGUGUCGUGGUGAUUAUAGGUA
rnacentral:sRNA from 1 species